GCCUGGCUGGCUCAGUCGGUAGAGCAUGUGACUCUCAAUCUCACGGUUGUGAGUUCGAGCCCCAUGUUGGGUG